CAAAAGGCUCUUUUCAGAGCCACCCACAAAAUUCACAAAGAGUUG
rfam:Anas platyrhynchos breed Pekin duck contig23329, whole genome shotgun sequence.